UACAGAGGGGGCAAGCGUUGUUCGGAAUUACUGGGCGUAAAGCGUGCGCAGGCGGUUGUGUAAGACAGAUGUGAAAUCCCCGGGCUCAACCUGGGAACUGCAUUUGUGACUGCACAGCUGGAGUGCGGCAGAGGGGGAUGGAAUUCCGCGUGUAGCAGUGAAAUGCGUAGAUAUGCGGAGGAACACCGAUGGCGAAGGCAAUCCCCUGGGCCUGCACUGACGCUCAUGCACGAAAGCGUGGGGAGCAAACAGG
rnacentral:rRNA from 1 species